rfam:Myotis lucifugus cont2.11014, whole genome shotgun sequence.
GGUGGUUCUUGGAUGAUGCACCCUGAAAUCAUGCUCCCUCCUCUCUGGUUCUGGGUGCAUCACCCGAGAACGGCA